AAAGACUUUCUGCAAAUACCAUUGAGUGCCAUAACCACUUCCCCUUGCAUCUCCCUGGCAAGAAUAUAGCUGCAAGAGAGGCUGGGUACUGGGGUAGGCAGCUAAUAGUUUUGCUGCAUGUUCUAGUUAAUACUUUAAAAUUAAUUCUAGGACCUGUUAGAACCUUGACUGGGGGAAAGAGAGACUUGAUUUCUGGUCCUGAUUUUGACAUUGGUAUAUUAGUCCACUUUCUGUUGCUAUAACUAAAUACCUGAAACUGGAUCACUUAUAGAGAGAUGAGACUUGCUUAGCUCACAGUUUUGGAAACUGAAAGUCUAAGAUCUGGUUGCCCUUGCUGGUUAGUCUCUGGUGAGGCCCUUAAGGAGAAUGGCACCACAGUGGCAGCAAUAGCACACUCAGAGGUAAUCAUGUAGUAAUACAGGAAGCCAGAGAGACACAGGGGCUAGGCUUCCUCUUUUUAGAACAAUUCACCCUUUCAGGAACUAACCAGGGUCCCAUGAGAACUGUAUUAAUCUCUGCCAGAGUAGCACCCCUAGUUUAGCCAGCUUUUCAUUACUGUGACCAAAAUACCCAACCAGAACAACUUAGAGAAGGGAAAUUUUAUUUUGGCUUAUGGUUUCCAAGGUCUUAGUCCAUAGUUGGCUGAGUCUAUUGCUCUGGGCUGAAAGUGAGGCAGAAUAUCAUGGUGGAAGGGCAUGGCAGAAGGAAGCUGUUCCAUUCUUGGCAGCAAGGACGCUAAGAGGGGGAAGGGGAAAGAGACAGUAGGGAAGACACACCCGUCCAUGGCACCCCUCCAGAGGCUCAUCUCCUCCAGCCAUGACCCACCUACCUGCAGUACCACCCAGUCCCUCCAUUUAAACUAGAGUGGACGGAUUAGGUUACAGCCCUCAAACUCCGAUCAUUUCACCUGUGCAUUAACACAGGUGCUUUGGGAGGACACUUCAUAAAACAUAAUAAGCCCAAUAACCUAACCACCUUCCACUAGGGCCCACUUUCUAGCUUCCGCCACCUCUCCGCAUCACCACAGUGGGGACCAAACUUUCCACCACAUGAAACUUUGGGGGACACACUCAAAAACAUCCAAACCACAACAUUCAUGAAUGAAUUUAGUCAAGAAAGUAUUUAUUGAUGAUUCCUUUCUGUGCGCCAAACACUAGUUUAGAGGCAGAAGGUAGCAGACCUAGAAUCAAGCAGAGGGUUCCCAGAACUUACAUCCUAAUCACUGGCCACUUGUCCUUGGCAUAGUCUCCUCCCUUCCCACAUCUGUCAUCCUCUACACUACCCCUUCCCAAUGUACGCAUUUAUUCUACCAGUUGGCUCAUAAAAGCAAAUUGCAAACUCAAACUAUUUAAAACUUCUGCCCCUUCUUAGGUUCACAUAAACAUUUACCUCCUUCAUUUCAAAACAUCACGUUGUGGGGCUGGGGUUGUGGCUCAGCAGUAAAGUGCUCACCUAGCAUGUGCAAGGCGCUGGGUUCGAUGCUCAGCACCACAUAGUAAAUAAAUAAAUAAUAAAGGUAUUGUUCCAAUUACAACUAAAAAAUAUUUUAAAAAACCCAUAAUUUUGUGCAGCAUAAAUACAUGUAACUUUUAUUUUUCAAUUAAAAAAUAAAAAUGAGUUUAUUUCCUCUUUUCAGGAGGUACGAAAAUUAAUAUUUCUUGGGUAAAGUCUCUGGCCAAGAUCUUCUGGAAUCUUCCUUUUGGUUGUUUGCAUUAUAGCACAAAAUUGACUCCCCCCCUCCAAAUAUAGUUACAAUGUUUUAUGAAACUAGAUCCAUCUGUUUCCUUUCAUUCUAGUAUUUUCCCCUCUGAGAAUCACUGUGUGAUAGUCUUAUUGAAAAAUAUUCACUAGUCAUGUCUCCUGCCCCAGGUUUAUUUAUUCCCAUUGUCUUGCCCUUUACUCUGACAUUUCAGUCAAGCUUGGAGGACACCCCCAUGGCUGACCUUGAGGUUGUGUCCCUGGAACUUUAGCUGGUUUUCAGCUUUCCACAGGGAAGGGUUCCUGGUGUUUGCCCUCUCAGCAGGGGAGCAGAGUCACACAUAUUGACUUUCAUAUCCACUUCUGAAAAGGGCAUGAUAAAUAGUUCUUCAACUAACAUGCCCAACUACCAGGGUUUUGAGGAGCUUGAUUAGAAAUAUUUUCAAUAUUUAAAAAAUGUAUGAAGUAUCUUGCAAUGAGACCAAAUAAGUCAACCUGAGUGUCAAGUUUCUUCGUGCUGGUCUGUGAUUGUAUGAAUGUACUGUGACAAUAAUGAUAAAUUGAAGUUUAUAGUGACUUUUGCUUGGCAGUAAAAUAAGUUUUUAAUAAAAUGUGGGAAACAAAUUAAUAAUGUAUUGUGUAAUAAAUGCAGUUUUAUAGUAGAAAAAAUAAUGAUUCAAAACGUGGUAAUGACAGUGGUAGGGAGAAUUAAACAAUGUAAUUUUCAUGUUCCUUUUGGUGAGGUUCAGUUUUUCACAAGUUUCAGACAAUCUACAUUUUAUUACUCCAUGAAUUACAUAAUAUCAUUUGUCCACUUUCCUAUUGGGUUUUCUCUUUUGUGUUGAUUUGUAACAUAAUAAUACUUUAUUAAGUAUCGGUACUUUAUUACUAUGUUGCAAUGUCUUCAGACUGUGCUUUGUUUAUAACCUCAUUUAUUAGAUUUUUACCAUAUAUGUAAUUCAACUUGUAAUGUUUUUGUUCAUGUCUUUUGGGUUUCAUGCCAGCUUCCAUAUUAUUCUACUAUCCAUUUAUCUUUUCAAAUAAAGGAAAGUUCAGCUUCCUCCCUGGGGAAUUGACAAAGUCCUGGGUCAUCAGUUGUAACUUCUAAGCUGAAUUACAAGGUUAAUAUGCUCUCCCUGGUGAUUUGGGGGUACAGAUUCUUGGGAGUCUGUGAAUAGAAUUGGGGGAUGGAGGUCUAUGAAUUUACAUAUUUAUUUUUACUGUUGGCCAUAAACAUUACAAGUAUUUUCAUAUCACAUUAAGGUUGUUGCAGACAUCUUGAAAUAUUUACUCUCCCAUUCCUUUUAGACCAGAUGCUAGAUCUUGCCAUUUAAUGCAUUCAUAAAUAAACAAGAAUAUUAUUAUAUCAUAAA
rnacentral:lncRNA from 1 species